rnacentral:rRNA from 1 species
GAUGAGCUGUGGUUAGGAGCGAAAGACUAAUCAAACCCUGUGAUAGCUGGUUCUUUCCGAAAUAUAUUUGGGUAUAGCCUCGGAUGCUGAUUUGCGGAGGUAGAGCACUAAAUAAGCUAGGGCCCCUACCGGGGUACUGAACUUAAUUAAACUCCGAAUACCGCGAAGUGAAGUCCGGCAGUCAGACUGUGGGGGAUAACCUUCAUAGUCGAGAGGAGAAUAAUCCAGACCAUCAGUUAAGGUCCCAAAAUAUGGCUCAGUGAAAAAGGAUGUGAUUUUGCUUAGACAAUGGGGAUGUUGGCUUAGAGGCAGCCAUCAUUUAAACAGUGCGUAACAGCUGACCCAUCGAGCGAAAUUGCGCCGAAAAUGAUCGGGACUUAAGCCAUAUACCGAAGCUGUGGGUGCGUCGCAAGACGCGCAGUAGGAAAGCGUCCCAAGUGCAGCGAAGUGGAAGGGGUAACCGACCAUGGAGCGCUUGGGAGUGAGAAUGCAGACAUAAGUAACGAUAAAGCCGGUUGAAAUCCGGCUCGCCGAAAUCCCAAGGAUUCCUGGGGAAGGUUCGUCCGCCCAGGGUUAGUCGGGUGCUAAGACGAGGCCGUAAGGAAUAGUCGAUGCCAAGCAGGUUUAAUAUUCCUGCACCACUUUACAUGCGUUUGACCUAUGGAGUGACGGAGAAAGUUAUGGCGGCAACGUGUUGAAUCGUUGUCUAAGUUCGUAGACUGCUCGGGGAUAAAAGACCGGGUAAAGUCGAAAAACGAUAGGACCCUAAGACUACGGUCAAGGGGGAUUGCCUGAUACUAUGCUUCCAAGAAAAGCUUCGUAGUUAGCAUGUAGGGUGCCCGUACCGUAAACCGACACAGGUGGGAUAGAUGAGUAUUCUAAGGCGCGCAGGUUAAAUCUCUCUAAGGAACUCGGCAAAUUAACCCCGUAUCUUCGGUAUAAGGGGUGCCCCGCAAGGGGCCGCAGUUAAUUGCGUCAACCGACUGUUUAGCAAAAACACAGCACUCUGCUAAGUCGCAAGACGACGUAUAGGGUGUGACACGUGACCAAUGCGGAAAGGUGAAAGUCUUGGGUGCAAGCUCAGGAUCUAAGCCCCCGUGAAUGUCGGCCGUAACUAUAACGGUCCUAAGGUAGCGAAAUUCCUUGUCGGGUAAGUUCCGACCCGCACGAAUCGUGUAACGAGUUGACGACUGUCUCGGAGAGAGGCUCGGUGAAAUUGUAGUGGCGGUGAAGAUGCCGCCUACCCGCAGCAGGACGGAAAGACCCUAUGCACCUUUACUGUAAGCUGUUAUUGUCGCUUGACUUUCAAUACGUAGAAUAGGUGGGAGACUUCGAAGCCCGGUUCCAGGAUCGGGCUGAGUCACAACGUGAAAUACCACUUUUUGUUGGUUAGGCGUCUAACCUCGUACCAUUAUCUGGUCGUGGGACAGUGAUAGCAGGUCAGUUUUUCUGGGGCGGAAUCCUCCCAAAAAGUAACGGAGGAUUACGAAGGUUCCCUCGGCCCGGUCGGUAAUCGGGCUAUAGAGCGCAUGAGUAUAAGGGAGCUUUACUGUGAGACCAACAAGUCGAGCAGUUGCGAAAGCAGGUUCAAGUGAUCCGGUGGUUGAAUGUGGAAUCGCCAUCGCUCAUAGGACAAAAGGUACGCUAGGGAUAACAGGCUGAUCGCGCCCAAGCGUUCACAGCGACGGCGCGGUUUGGCACCUCGAUGUCGGCUCAUCACAUCCUGGGGCUGGAGAAGGUCCCAAG